AGGGAGGGGCUCCCUAACUGAGCAGCCUGCUGCCCCCAGCCGAGUUUGGUGGCAGCAGUGGGAUCCAAAGGAGACGCCUGAUGGCUUCGAGGAUGAGAAACAGUCAUUGGUACCAGCAAAACCUUUGAGUUCUCCAUCUUUUUCACUGUUUCUGAGGGCUGUGGCGUCAGCUGCUGAGCUCCAGCCAGCGGCAGAAGAAGAGCAGUGGGCAGUGGUGGAGGUAGAGCUGGCUCCAGCUCCGUUGACACCACCCCCUCUAGCACUGGAGCCAGUGUCCCCUCCACCAGCAGUGUUGGAGGUGGAGCAAGGGCCAACAUGGGCUCCAGCAGGAGUAGGAGCUGCUUAGCUAG